rnacentral:rRNA from 1 species
UCAUCGGCCUCAGAUUGGUAGGACUACCCGCUGAACUUAAGCAUAUCAAUAAGCGGAGGAAAAGAAACUAACAAGGAUUCCCCUAGUAACGGCGAGUGAAGAGGGAAGAGCCCAAGAUUGAAAGCUGGCGUCUUCGGCGUCCGCAUUGUAAUCUCAAGAAGUGUUUUCCGCUUCGGACCAAGCCUAAGUCCCCUGGAAAGGGGCAUCAUAGAGGGUGAUAAUCCCGUACAUGGCUUGGAGCGCCCGAGGCUUUGUGAUACGCUUUCUAAGAGUCGAGUUGUUUGGGAAUGCAGCUCAAAAUGGGUGGUAAAUGCCAUCUAAGGCUAAAUAUUGGGGAGAGACCGAUAGCGAACAAGUACAGUGAUGGAAAGAUGAAAAGAACUUUGAAAAGAGAGUUAAACAGUACGUGAAAUUGCCAAAAGGGAAGGGUAGGAGGUCAGAGAUGCGGCCUGGGAUUCAGCCUUGCUUUUGCUUGGUGUUUUUCCCAGAUUGCAGGCCAACGUCGGUUUUGGGCACUGGAGAAGGGUAGGAGGAACGUGGCACCCCUCGGGGUGUGUUAUAGCCUCCUACUGGAUACAGCGACCGAGACCGAGGACAGCAGCGUACUCGCAAGAGCGGGCCUUCGGGCACCUUUACGCUUAGGGC